rnacentral:rRNA from 1 species
ACGGGUGAGUAACACGUGGGCAAUCUGCCCUGCACUCUGGGACAAGCCCUGGAAACGGGGUCUAAUACCGGAUACGACGCGCUCAGGCAUCUGAUGCGCGUGGAAAGCUCCGGCGGUGCAGGAUGAGCCCGCGGCCUAUCAGCUUGUUGGUGAGGUAACGGCUCACCAAGGCGACGACGGGUAGCCGGCCUGAGAGGGCGACCGGCCACACUGGGACUGAGACACGGCCCAGACUCCUACGGGAGGCAGCAGUGGGGAAUAUUGCACAAUGGGCGAAAGCCUGAUGCAGCGACGCCGCGUGAGGGAUGACGGCCUUCGGGUUGUAAACCUCUUUCAGCAGGGAAGAAGCGAAAGUGACGGUACCUGCAGAAGAAGCGCCGGCUAACUACGUGCCAGCAGCCGCGGUAAUACGUAGGGCGCGAGCGUUGUCCGGAAUUAUUGGGCGUAAAGAGCUCGUAGGCGGCUUGUCGCGUCGGUUGUGAAAGCCCGGGGCUUAACCCCGGGUCUGCAGUCGAUACGGGCAGGCUAGAGUUCGGUAGGGGAG